GAUUGUGGGGGCAGUCAACAUUCCCUAUAAGUUGUCGGGGUGUUACAAGUGGUAUCAGAGCCUAGCCUCUCCCAAUACGGUGUGGUUCGAGGACGAACCAAGUGGAAGCUGGUGGGCAUGUGAUACCCUGGCACUGACGAGGGCGGGGAGUGAUUGCCGGUGCAAGAGGCAAAAACAAGGAGCGGCUCCUAACAGGCUUCCAGUGGAAGGGGCACAUGGAUGAAUCGAACAUACACCGAAAUGAGAGGGAUCUAGAGACUGUAUAGGUAUGGGACUAUACGGUUGAAGGAUAGCUUAA
rnacentral:lncRNA from 1 species